GACGGGGUGCCGGUGAUAAUCAGGGAGGAGGCAGCUGACUCGUCACAAUAUGAUCACAGUGCUGGCCCCAGGGUGGGAUGUGGACUUUGUACAAGCAUGUGGGGUUAAUUAAGAGGGACUUUGCUCCUGGACAAGAUUGAGUUGAUCCACAAUGGCGACCGUCAGAAUUGGUGGUCUGUGGUCAUUUGGCAAGGCCAGAUUAGCCAAGAUGUAGGGCUGAUAAAUGUAUCAGUUAUUGGCCAGCAAAUGAUCAAGAACAGAAGAAACAGUGAGACCAGACUGGUUGGUCAAGCUUUCAGUCACCAGAGGAUCCUUUGUUUUUUUACUGUGAAACACAAAAACAGAAAUGUAAAUGUAUGGUUAGUUAGUCUCUCUUUUCAUACAAUUGAAUGGAAAAAGAGAUUUCCAAGGUUAAAAAAGAACACAAAAGUACAAAUAAAAUUAUCAUACAAUGGA